rnacentral:rRNA from 1 species
AACGCGAAGAACCUUACCUGGGCUGAACUACGCGGGAAAAGCCGUAGAAAUACGGUGUCCUUCGGGGUCCGCGAUAGGUGGUGCAUGGCUGUCGUCAGCUCGUGUCGUGAGAUGUUGGGUUAAGUCCCGCAACGAGCGCAACCCUUAUCCCAUGUUGCCAGCGGGUAAUGCCGGGGACUCGUGGGGGACUGCCGGUGCCAAACCGGAGGAAGGUGGGGACGAGGUCAAGUCAUCAUGCCCCUUACGUCCAGGGCUGCACACAUGCUACAAUGGCCGGUACAAAGGGCUGCAAUCCCGCGAGGGGGAGCUAAUCCCAGAAAGCCGGUCUCAGUUCGGAUCGUAGUCUGCAACUCGACUGCGUGAAGUCGGAGUCGCUAGUAAUCGCAGAUCAGCAUUGCUGCGGUGAAUACGUUCCCGGGCCUUGUACACACCGUAGUAC